UAAUUGUACUAGGGGUGCCUUAUGGGCUGAGACGGACAUGUCCGAACUCUUUGAACCUGAUCUGGUUUACACCAGCGUAGGGAAGUUACUGAAGAUGAUA
rnacentral:ncRNA from 1 species